AUUGGGUUUAGGAAAAGAAGAACCGGUUGGGUUUAGGAAAAGAAGAACCGGGUGGGUUUAGGACAAGAUGAACCGGUUGGGUUUUAGGACAAGAAGAACCGGUUGGGUUUAGGACAAGAAGAACCGGUUGGGUUGUGGAAAAGAAGAACCGGUCGGGUUUAGGAAAAGAAGAACCGGUCGGGUUUAGGAAAAAAAGAACCGGUUGGGUUGUGGAAAAGAAGAACCGGUCGGGUUUAGGAAAAGACGAACCGGUCGGGUUUAGGAAAAAAAGAACCGGUUGGGUUGUGGAAAAGAAGAACCGGUUGGGUU